GUGCCCAGAGUCAUGAGAGCAGAGAACCUUCCCAGAGCCAUCUCUUGAGAAGAGAACUCUGCCUGGGCUGAGCCAGGCACGUCAGAGGGCAGCCGAUGACUCAUUCAAGUCUCUCCAAAGGGAAUUCUGGGAUAACUGUCAUCCCUCCCGAGUAACGGACAUUGGCAGCCUCAGCAGAUGCCAGCCAGGGCACAGGCAGGAUGGCAGGCAAUGGACGCUGGCUUGGCGCGAUCGCUGAGUGGGUCUCAACAGUGUUGUUCAGCCCUGGCAUGAUCCUGCGCCCAUCACAAGGCAGAAGAGGAAGCUGCCUGGAGAUUCCCAAGGGAGUUCAAGUCAGAUCUUGGUGCCAGGGCUUGACUUAGACAGAAUACAGUCUCAGGCUCUCCAAGGAGACUUGCUGUUGACUGCCAACAGAAUUUGCCCUUUGAAAGCAAGCACGGAAGAGCCAGAGAAUGUUCACCAGGAGCAGAUUCAAAACCACAAGAGAUCAAAGCCAAGCAUCAAAAUGAAGGCAAAGGUGAUAUUUCAUCAUCCAGUGAAGCAACUGAGGAACCUGAAGGCAGAAGUUGAACCAGAGACUGUGAAGCACGCUGCAUGUUGUCUUGCUCCACCACUGAGUAGAGCACCAUUUCAAUUAACACAGUUACAUCCUUCAUCUUAUCUUCCCUAUAACUGUUCUGAUUCACUCACAUGCUAUCUAAGGCUAUGUCUGGGUUCUCGGUCUUACUGCAACUGGGGACUCUGUUGAUGUCCAAGAACCAUGUUGUCCCUAAGGCCAUAUGGAUGCCUGGGAUUUGGUCUACUACCUGAGGUUAUUUUGGUGUCAGACGGCCAUGCCACUGUUGGGGCCAUGCUGAUUUGAGUGGCCAGUCCUGCUACUGGAGGACAUGAUGACUCCGUGCCUGGGCUGCUCCCAAGGGGUCAUAAUUGGAUCCAUUGACCUGCAGUAGCCAGGGUCUGAGGUGAUAUCUGUGGCUCCUGUCUCUACCAAACUCAGUGAAGAUGCCUGGAUUCUGGACAGCCACCAGGGGCCCAGUUCACCACAAAUUCUAAGUAUCCUGCCUCCAUUAGAAAGGGGUGGUUCAUCACAUCAAGUUCAUCCUAUUGGGUCAUGCCUGUUCUUAAUGAACCUUUCGCCUCCACCUUCUGUCACAUAGGAGUUUCAGUGGAACUUUCAUGCUCAUCUCAAAAAUAUCAGGUAUUUUCUCUACCUAUGAAUCCAGGUAGACAAAGUUCACUUUGUCCUCAUGUUUUUGUUUUAGAAUCAAUAACAAGCAUGCUCCUUUGCACAUCUAGAUGAGUUGGCACUAUAAAAAGUUCCUUUGCAAAGAGGUUCACUCCCUGGGUCCAUCUUUUGACUAACUUCAUCCUCAGACUUUAAUUUUGUGGAAAAGAAGGUACUAAAUGCCUGAAGUUGGGGAUAUCCCUGUGUUUUGCUCCUUUGUGUGAGAUGAUUCAUGUAAAUUUGAUGACUUCACUUUUCGCCAAUGAGCAUCUUUUGGUGUCCACAAGAUGACUCCUUCUGUAAUUCACAUGUUGAAUGCAUAACUUAAAAUCUCAUCUAUGGCCCUAGGCCUUAAUUUCUCAUAUUCUCUUUUGCAUUUGCAGUGACAGUAGGGCUCUGGCGUUUUCCUCUGCCCAUCUCUUGAUCAAGAAUGCCUUUUCCUUGCCUACAUGUAUUGGUUUUGAGAUGCUGUAGUUCAGCAUUCCAUUGCUGACACUGUCUAUGCAGACCGGGCAAAAGGUUCCUCUCAAAAAUUCAGGUUGGGUGUUAGGUUCCCUUUUGAUCAUUUUCUAGGAUCAUCCUGAUGUUCUUCUAUGUAUCCAAAUUUUUAUCUUCUGUACCUCUCUUUUCCCUUUUGACUCAUUAGUUAUGUUCCCUUGUGAACAGUACAGGCAGAUUGUUUUAACUGAAAUUGAACCUGCCACAGUCUUUGGUCUUCUCAUAAGUAUCUACAGGACUUAUGUGAGGUCUUUGAGCUUCAGAGUCUACAUGGUCACCAGUUAGAAGUUGUUUCAGCAUUCUUAGUUACUUCUCCUUGUGGUGUUUUUGAACACAUUCCCCUGUGUCAUAGGACCAUUGAUAUCAUGCAUAAAUGUCUCCUUAUUAUAUCCUCUUCCUGAGAGUCUUUGACACCCUCUUGCAGCUCUAGCUGUAAUCAACAUUCUUCCUGGGGUUCCAGGUAUUUUUCUUCAUACCAAAUCUAUAUUUCAUCCUGUUUCUGUUUCAACCUCUUCCAAAGCUUGGUUGUCUCAUGAGACUACACAUAGAUGGCUUGCUCUUCCUGGAGUUUUCUCUUUUGUCAUUUUCCUGCAGUGUCAGGGCUCUUGAUUUCAUGAUGCAGGUCUACACAUGUGGCAACUGUGUAGAGUGACUAUUGAAUUGCUUUGUUUUGGUGUCUGCUGUUUGCUGUGGUGUGGAUUUCUGAUUUUCAAGUCAAUGUGGCAAUCAGGAAGACUCUGGUGGGUGCUCUUGUGUUGUUGUCCUCUUGAUGGUUGAAGUAUCAUUUAAUCCCCCAAGGAUAUGUUUCAUUCACACUGGACAUGUUGGUUCCAGUUCAGGAACAACUGGGUAAAGAGCUCAGAGUUCCUCUUUAUCUGUGGAGUUUGCUUCUGUUUCUUUUCAGCAUCAGCCACUACUUUUCUUUUGGUGAAUCUAUCAAUUUAACCUUGUCUGUAAAGUGGCAAAGGAACAGAGCCAAUAUAGAAAACUACAUGGAGUUCACACACUGGGUUUUGUUUUUGGGAGAAGUGAGACUCCAGGGCUACUGUAGAUUCUAAAAUUGUGAAAUCACACUGAACUUUGGAGCCAGUGUUCUGAGGAAACCAGAUGCUGGUAUUCCAGAAAUGAAAUUGGGCCAUUCUGCAGUAUGCCUCAGCUGUUGCCCUGGUUAUAGCCAUCCAGGGUUUGUAGCUAGUUUUGAUGCAGUUUCAUAGUUCAUGAUAGCAUUUUAUGGUGAGUUGUUGCCCUGUACACUAUUAUCCAGGUCUAGGGUCUUGAAGUUUUUUUCCCAUCCCUGGAGUUCCAGUGGGUCUGAGCCUGUCCAAAAGGCCGGAAAAAAACCCAAAGUCAAUCAGAAGUCAAGUAGCAGAAGUAGCACUCAUUCUCCAGGAAGGGAAUAAAUAUUGGCAAGAACAGUGGACACACUUCAUUUUAUUCUUCUGAAGUAUAAUCUAGGAAUGAGGUAGGUACCCUUGCAAGGAUUCAUACAUGCCUCUUGUCUUCUCCUGAACAGAGAAUUCUCAAAGAGAUACAUUUCUUCUUUUUUCCUUUCCUCUUGUGGUUGUAUUUUCAUGAAAAUAGAUCCUCCUCUUGUGGUCUUAAAAACUGAUGAUGGUAAUAAUAUUUUAUUACCUCAGUUGUCCCUACAAGGCAAUGGGUCCAAAGAUGAACAGUUUAACUACCAAGUUGUGCUUUGGUGUGAAACACUUGCUUACUAGGAUGACUGUGUCCUAUGCUGGACAUUUGUUACAAAGUCAACCUUUGCCCAUACCCAGGAAGCAUAAAAGACAAGAUGGCUCACCAAAAUUAUGUCUUUGUUUGUUUUUCCAUUUUUAAGUGAUCUGUUUUUACUUUAUGUGCAUUACCGUCUGGCCUGAAUGUAUAUCUGUGUGAGGUUGGAAGAUACCAUGGAACUGUAAUUGCAGGCAGAUGUGAGCUGCCACAUGGGUGCGAAGAAUUGAAUCUGUGUCCAGUGGAAGACCAGACAGUGAUUUUCACUGCUGUGUCAUCUCUCCAGCUCAGUUUUUGCCUUUAUACUCCUUGGGGUAAGAAUGCCCUGGGCCUUACCUAGCAAAUUCUCUCUGGCUUGGUCCUAGCCAGUCUCAUUUUAAUAAAAGCCCUAACAAAAAUCAAAA